GCAAGUCGAACGGGUUAUCUUUGUAGCUUGCUAUAGAGAUGGUUAGUGGCAGACGGGUGAGUAAUGCAUAGGAAUCUACCUAGUAGUAUAGGAUAGCCACUAGAAAUGGUGGGUAAUACUGUAUAAUCCCUGCGGGGGAAAGAUUUAUCGCUACAUGAUGAGCCUAUGUUAGAUUAGCUAGUUGGUGGGGUAAUGGCCUACCAAGGCGAUGAUCUAUAGCUGGUCUGAGAGGAUGAUCAGCCACACUGGAACUGAGAUACGGUCCAGACUCCUACGGGAGGCAGCAGUGGGGAAUAUUGGACAAUGGGCGCAAGCCUGAUCCAGCUAUGCCGCGUGAGUGAGGAAGGCCUUAGGGUUGUAAAACUCUUUCAGUAGGGAAGAUAAUGACGGUACCUACAGAAAAAGUCCCGGCAAACUC
rnacentral:rRNA from 1 species